rnacentral:lncRNA from 1 species
CAACCGCCGCGCGCGCUGAGGCCGCCGGCGCCAACGGYCGCCUCCAGCGGCCGCGGGAGCACCUCGUGGGAGGGGGCCGAAGGCCGCUGUUUCUGCGCUGUCUUCCCGGCUCUCCGAGUCUUCCCGGCGUCCCUCUCUGCCUCAGGCCUUCCGUGCAGUGCAGCCUGGUGCUUUAGGACGGUCUCCUCAGAGGUGGGAGAUAAGGAGCAGAGUCAUGAUUUUUAGCCUUUGGGACCAGCUGCACUCCACUAUUUCCUUUUUACAGGAAGUGAAAGCACAAAUUAGAUUUGUGCAGGAUUGUUGCCUACCUGUCCUGAGGAGUGUACACCUGUUAGAGAGCAGUGGGCAUAAUCUACAACAAGGAAGAAAGUCACAGACAAAGAGUAAAGUUUAUUCUAGGGAAGUUGUGGUUGGAGGAGGAAGGAAGAAGGGAGAACUGAGACUGAGAAGGAAACAGGCUCCUAUUAUCAGUGUCAGUGAGCAGACUUGGCUCUUGCAUGGUCGUCAGGUGCUGCCAAGAAAAUUCUAGCUGGCCUCACUCUGGAGCAUGGUCAGUGCAAAUGAAAUGUAUUAUUUACUGUAAAGCUGUCUUUUCUAAGCAUAUGAUGACUGUAUUUUUAAAUGCAGAUAAUUUAGGCAGACUUCUACAGGCAGGACUGUAGCACGUGCUUCCUGUAAGAACAUUCCUUGCUAUAUUUUAGUUGCCUGCUUGAAAGCACAGAAUUUCUAUAGCUUUUCAGUUAAUAGCUCGUAAGAAUUUCAUUUAAUAUUAGGGAACAGCACACUUUCUUUAAGCUGUUUUUGCUAAAAUCAAGACAAAA